CGGGCCGCUUACAGCCAUUACGCCAGCAUCCUAGCAGAUGCGCGGACCUCAGUCCGAACUGGCCGCAUGACGCCCUGGGCUAUAACACUCCCCGAAGAGAGCUACAUUCCCAAGGCCUUUAUCCGACCGUCCAGACUGAUGCUGGCCCGCUCGCGGAA
rnacentral:rRNA from 1 species